ensembl:ncRNA C10G6.51 ncRNA
AGGUUGCUAGGGCGCGAAAAGGAGUAUUCACGGCCCGUUGAACUCAUUUCAUAUGCAUCCGUAUGUCG